AUUGAACGCUGGCGGCAGGCCUAACACAUGCAAGUCGAGCGGAUGAAGGGAGCUUGCUCCUGGAUUCAGCGGCGGACGGGUGAGUAAUGCCUAGGAAUCUGCCUGGUAGUGGGGGAUAACGUCCGGAGACGGGCGCUAAUACCGCAUACGUCCUGAGGGAGAAAGUGGGGGAUCUUCGGACCUCACGCUAUCAGAUGAGCCUAGGUCGGAUUAGCUAGUUGGUGGGGUAAAGGCCUACCAAGGCGACGAUCCGUAACUGGUCUGAGAGGAUGAUCAGUCACACUGGAACUGAGACACGGUCCAGACUCCUACGGGAGGCAGCAGUGGGGAAUGUUGGACAAUGGGCGAAAGCCUGAUCCAGCCAUGCCGCGUGUGUGAAGAAGGUCUUCGGAUUGUAAAGCACUUUAAGUUGGGAGGAAGGGCAGUAAGUUAAUACCUUGCUGUUUUGACGUUACCAACAGAAUAAGCACCGGCUAACUUCGUG
rnacentral:rRNA from 1 species